ACAAAUACAGAGCCCUCAAUGAUAAUCCUUAACUUUACAACCAACACUUGAAGCCAAGCCACCCAGUGAGCCAGGAGAAUGUGGAACUAUUCUGAAGCACUGAUGGGUAUCACUGUGCUCCUGCAGGCCCCUGUCCCUCCAGCGGGUAGAAACUCAGUUUACAUCCUCCUGGAAGGGGAGUGUGUCUGCACGUGAGACUUCCUGGAAUACCACAAAGUGAGCGGGAAAUUGGGACCCACUUCUAACAUGGAAAAAAAUUACAGAGGAAAACAGAAAGCUAUUUUUGGCACGCUGAAUUCAGUAGAUGAAAAGCUGAGAUAAUCCUAUAGGAACUGUUUUGGAUCUUGAACAAGUCUAAUGGGGAGUGAAUAGGCAGCUUCAAGGGUCCUGACAAAGUGUGCAAGUGACAAAUGAAAGGAAGAUGUUCAUUUAUACACACUAUGUGUGAUCUUCUCUAGGGCUGGGGUAUGAAUUUUGCUCUUGACCACAGUCUUCCUUCUACUUUUGUUAAGACAGAUAUCAGGUCACUUUUUGAGACCAAUCACAGCUGCAGCUAUACCUGGAGUAGGACCUUGCUUUGGUUCUUCAUGAUUGCUAUAUCUAAAGUACAGCAGGAUGCAGCCAGAUAUGUCAAACUGCCCUUGUUUUCAACCAGGCAAGCUCCAUUUCUUCUAAAUUUUUCACUAUCAAAACUACUUCGAUGAAAUCAGAGUCAGCUGAAGAGAAAAAGGCAAAUCCUUCCGGGAUGAGGAAGAAACAGAAGGAAAAGAGAAGAGAAUUGAGAUGGAAAAUACAUUCUUGUCUCCAGAAAUAAGCAAGGCUCCCCAGAAUUUGGAGAUUAUGCAGUCACAGUUACCACAGCAAACAUAUUCUGAGCCGUGUCUUGGACCAUCCCAUUAAAGAUUUUCAAAUACACAACUAUAGGACUGCUUGCAAGAGGGCUGCCUAUUUGAAAUUUGUUUAAAUGCUAGUGUUAUGGAAAGCAUAAUCGGUACAGAUAUACCAAAACUGAGUCUGUAAAACAGAAAAUAAACCUUGCCAUUUGCCAUUUAGAGGCAGU
rnacentral:lncRNA from 7 species